CCUACGGGGUGCAGCAGUGAGGAAUAUUGGUCAAUGGACGAGAGUCUGAACCAGCCAAGUCGCGUGAGGGAAGACGGUCCUAUGGAUUGUAAACCUCUUUUGUCGGGGAGCAAAAGACGCCACGCGUGGCGUUCCGAGAGUACCCGAAGAAAAAGCAUCGGCUAACUCCGUGCCAGCAGCCGCGGUAAUACGGAGGAUGCGAGCGUUAUCCGGAUUUAUUGGGUUUAAAGGGUGCGCAGGCGGAAGAUCAAGUCAGUGGUAAAAUUGAGAGGCUCAACCUCUUCGAGCCGUUGAAACUGGUUUUCUUGAGUGAGCGAGAAGUAUGCGGAAUGCGUGGUGUAGCGGUGAAAUGCAUAGAUAUCACGCAGAACUCCGAUUGCGAAGGCAGCAUACCGGCGCUCAACUGACGCUCAUGCACGAAAGUGUGGGUAUCGAACAGGAUUAGAUACCCCGGUAGUC
rnacentral:rRNA from 1 species